AUUGAACGCUGGCGGCAUGCCUUACACAUGCAAGUCGAACGGUAACGGGCCUUCGGGUGCCGACGAGUGGCGAACGGGUGAGUAAUGUAUCGGAACGUACCUUUCAGUGGGGGAUAACGUAGCGAAAGUUACGCUAAUACCGCAUAUUCUGUGAGCAGGAAAGCAGGGGAGCGCAAGACCUUGCGCUGAUUGAGCGGCCGAUAUCAGAUUAGCUAGUUGGUGAGGUAAAGGCUCACCAAGGCGACGAUCUGUAGCGGGUCUGAGAGGAUGAUCCGCCACACUGGAACUGAGACACGGUCCAGACUCCUACGGGAGGCAGCAGUGGGGAAUUUUGGACAAUGGGGGCAACCCUGAUCCAGCCAUGCCGCGUGAGUGAAGAAGGCCUUCGGGUUGUAAAGCUCUUUCGGCCGGGAAGAAAUCGUAUCAGCUAAUACCUGGUGCGGAUGACGGUACCGGCAUAAGAAGCACCGGCUAACUACGUGCCAGCCGCCGCUGUAAAAC
rnacentral:rRNA from 1 species